GAUGAACGCUGGCGGCGUGCCUAAUACAUGCAAGUCGAACGCAUAGCGAAAGGUGCUUGCACCUUUCAAGUGAGUGGCGAACGGGUGAGUAACACGUGGACAACCUGCCUCAAGGCUGGGGAUAACAUUUGGAAACAGAUGCUAAUACCGAAUAAAACUUAGUGUCGCAUGACACAAAGUUAAAAGGCGCUUCGGCGUCACCUAGAGAUGGAUCCGCGGUGCAUUAGUUAGUUGGUGGGGUAAAGGCCUACCAAGACAAUGAUGCAUAGCCGAGUUGAGAGACUGAUCGGCCACAUUGGGACUGAGACACGGCCCAAACUCCUACGGGAGGCUGCAGUAGGGAAUCUUCCACAAUGGGCGAAAGCCUGAUGGAGCAACGCCGCGUGUGUGAUGAAGGCUUUCGGGUCGUAAAGCACUGUUGUAUGGGAAGAACAGCUAGAAUAGGAAAUGAUUUUAGUUUGACGGCACCAUACCAGAAAGGGACGGCUAAAUACGUG
rnacentral:rRNA from 1 species